rnacentral:rRNA from 1 species
AUGAACGCUAGCGACAGGCUUAACACAUGCAAGUCGAGGGGCAGCGGGGGUAGCAAUACCCGCCGGCGACCGGCGCACGGGUGAGUAACGCGUAUGCAACUUACCUAUCAGAGGGGGAUAACCCGGCGAAAGUCGGACUAAUACCGCAUGAAGCAGGGGCCCCGCAUGGGGAUAUUUGCUAAAGAUUCAUCGCUGAUAGAUAGGCAUGCGUUCCAUUAGGCAGUUGGCGGGGUAACGGCCCACCAAACCGACGAUGGAUAGGGGUUCUGAGAGGAAGGUCCCCCACAUUGGUACUGAGACACGGACCAAACUCCUACGGGAGGCAGCAGUGAGGAAUAUUGGUCAAUGGGCGUAAGCCUGAACCAGCCAAGUCGCGUGAGGGAUGAAGGUUCUAUGGAUCGUAAACCUCUUUUAUAAGGGAAUAAAGUGCGGGACGUGUCCCGUUUUGUAUGUACCUUAUGAAUAAGGAUCGGCUAACUCCGUGCCAGCAGCCGCGGUAAUACGGAGGAUCCGAGCGUUAUCCGGAUUUAUUGGGUUUAAAGGGUGCGUAGGCGGCCUUUUAAGUCAGCGGUGAAAGUCUGUGGCUCAACCAUAGAAUUGCCGUUGAAACUGGGGGGCUUGAGUAUGUUUGAGGCAGGCGGAAUGCGUGGUGUAGCGGUGAAAUGCUUAGAUAUCACGCAGAACCCCGAUUGCGAAGGCAGCCUGCCAAGCCAUGACUGACGCUGAUGCACGAAAGCGUGGGGAUCAAACAGGAUUAGAUACCCUGGUAGUCCACGCAGUAAACGAUGAUCACUAGCUGUUUGCGAUACAGUGUAAGCGGCACAGCGAAAGCGUUAAGUGAUCCACCUGGGGAGUACGCCGGCAACGGUGAAACUCAAAGGAAUUGACGGGGGCCCGCACAAGCGGAGGAACAUGUGGUUUAAUUCGAUGAUACGCGAGGAACCUUACCCGGGUUUGAACGCAUUCGGACCGAGGUGGAAACACCUUUUCUAGCAAUAGCCGUUUGCGAGGUGCUGCAUGGUUGUCGUCAGCUCGUGCCGUGAGGUGUCGGCUUAAGUGCCAUAACGAGCGCAACCCUUGCCACUAGUUACUAACAGGUGAUGCUGAGGACUCUGGUGGGACUGCCAGCGUAAGCUGCGAGGAAGGCGGGGAUGACGUCAAAUCAGCACGGCCCUUACAUCCGGGGCGACACACGUGUUACAAUGGCGUGGACAAAGGGAUGCCACCUGGCGACAGGGAGCGAAUCCCCAAACCACGUCUCAGUUCGGAUCGGAGUCUGCAACCCGACUCCGUGAAGCUGGAUUCGCUAGUAAUCGCGCAUCAGCCAUGGCGCGGUGAAUACGUUCCCGGGCCUUGUACACACCGCCCGUCAAGCCAUGGGAGCCGGGGGUACCUGAAGUCCGUAACCGCGAGGAUCGGCCUAGGGUAAAACUGGUGACUGGGGCU